CCUACGGGGGGCUGCAGUCGAGGAUCUUCGGCAAUGGGCGCAAGCCUGACCGAGCGACGCCGCGUGCGGGAUGAAGGCCUUCGGGUUGUAAACCGCUGUCAGAGGGGAUGAAAUGCCGGGAGGUUCUCCUUUCGGUUUGACAGAUCCUCAGAGGAAGGACGGGCUAAGUUCGUGCCAGCAGCCGCGGUAAGCCGAACCGUCCAAACGUUAUUCGGUAACGCUGGGCUUGGCGGGUGGGUAAGUGGCGCGGGAAAUCCCUCGGCUCAACCGAGGAAGUGCGCUCCAAACUACCGUGCUUGAGGGAGACAGAGGUGAGUGGAACUUAGGGUGGAGCGGUGAAAUGCGUUGAUAUCCGAAGGAACACCAGUGGCGAAAGCGACUCACUGGGUCUCUUCUGACGCUGAGGCACGAAAGCUAGGGUAGCGAACGGGAUUAGAUACCCGUGUAGUC
rnacentral:rRNA from 1 species